GGGAGAUGAACGACUAUGUCUGUCUUACUAUCGAUCUCAAUUGGUUUCUAUAAGCCCAAAACAUAAAGCGCAUAAAUACAAAACAUUAAUAUGAAAAAUGUUACUCAAAAUAGCAACAUAUAUAAAACACGUGAAACGAUUGACGCGAAAAUGGGCUGCAAGACAUGAGCUUAUGCGGCUAUUGGUCUCUUCUCUGAUUUGUAC
rnacentral:misc_RNA from 1 species